GGGCUCUGCGCAGGAAUUCAUCAAGGACAUGACUGCUGGGAUCACGCUUGUGGAUGACCGAUCUAACAGAAAUAAACUAAUUCAGGAAUGAUAGAGAUGCUGCGGAAGAUAAACCUGAGUCGUGCCGUGCGUACCAUGCUGUAGCUGUUCCCAGAGGAGUACAACUUCUACCCCACGCUCCUGGAUCCUGCCUGAGGAAUACCAACUCUUCUCCACACAGAUUUGUCUCCUGAAAGAUAAUGAUUCAACCCUCAAACCCACUUUUACUGUCAAACCGGACAGCGGAUCCCAGGGCAAUGGCAUCUACCUCAUCCGUGACCCUGCUGACCUUCGGCUCGUCUCAGGUUCUCCGAUCAAACAAGCAGUUGUACAUCCAGAAACGCCUGCACUGUAAAAAAUUACUGAUGCAAAAAGUUGUACAAAUGAGGAAAUACAUGUUGGCUCAACAUAAUGGUUGUGUCAAAAAAGAAAAAUAUGUUUGGUCAAUGAUUGCAUGAUUUCCAUGAUUGUACUACAAAAUGUUCAUCAAGAGAAAAUAAAUAAUUAUGUUGAGAUAACUUUUAACGUUGCACAAAAAAUAUUAUGUUGGCCGAGCAAGAGAGAACAGCGUCAAUCGUCUGAGCAUGCGCAAAGGAGUUCUACCAGGCAGCGCUGCAGCAGGCUGGAGUCACGACAUUGCAUUGUCAGCAUUCCUGACAUCGCUGGACAAUCACACCCAGGGGUUGCUAAAGAUGUACAGAGCCAAAAGCAAGACUGGGAAGGUGGAACAACUUGGAUGAACUUCUGGAACAACUGGAUGCCCAGCAGAAGAAAGAAAUUCAUACAGGAAACUAUUUCAUGAAGUUGGUUGAAAUGACGCCCAAUGGUGAAAAGAAACACAGAUCUAACUACUCAUUGAAGGUCUGCUGUUCUUAGUGGUCUUCCCCUGUACUUGAGAGAGCCAGCUUCAAUUUCAAAGACUAUUAAGGAUACUGAGGCACUGGGGCCACACACAAAGGCCAUGAAAAUGAAGUGACUGACAGUUCUACCAACUCAGGACCUUAUCCCACAGUGGUCAAUGUGGCUGUAGUAGUGGAGGAGGAAGUUGUCAUGGACAAUCUGGGAGACUUCACAAAUUCCCUCAUGAUGUUUGUUUCGGCACUGGUUGAAUACUUGUGUAAUAUUUUACUUGAGCCUAACAGGCAAAUUCAUAUGUAUUUAAAUAAAUAAAUAAAAUGUUUUUUUUAUCAAAGCCUAGUGUGUAAUUUAUUUGAAAUAAUGAAAAAUAGACUAUUUUGACCAAGAAUAAAUAUUUAAUACAACAUUUUAUUUCAAUUUGAGUCUGCUUGUUGGCCCAACAAGCUAUGUUUAGUCAACAGAAAAUAUUUAAUUGACACAACAUUCUAUUUCAAGUUCAGUCUACAUGCAGGGGUAGUCAGCACAACACAAAAAAGUUGGUUUCCGCAACUUAAAUUGGGCCAACUAAAAAUUUUAGGUGCAACGGGUCACUAGAAAUUUUUAUGUUGGA